CUCUAGGGAUCAUUACAGACCAAUAAAGAAAAGUGCUCCACUGAUCAGUCACACGUCUUCAUCAUUCCACAUUCCAAAUUUUUCAGCAAGGAUGUCAAAUAGAAUUAUUGACAGGCAAUGUGACNNNNNUGACUGGUCAUGUCCUUUUCACGAGGUAUCCCAAAAUGAUGCCAAUCAAACCAAUAAGAAGAACAUACAUAUAUGGGAUACCACCACGACUUCUGCUGGAUUGAU
rnacentral:misc_RNA from 1 species